CGGCGGACGGGUGUGUAACGCGUGGGUAACCUGCCUCAUACAGGGGGAUAACAGUUGGAAACGGCUGCUAAUACCGCAUAAGCGCACAGUACCGCAUGGUACGGUGUGAAAAACUCCGGUGGUAUGAGAUGGACCCGCGUCUGAUUAGGUAGUUGGUGGGGUAACGGCCUACCAAGCCGACGAUCAGUAGCCGACCUGAGAGGGUGACCGGCCACAUUGGGACUGAGACACGGCCCAA
rnacentral:rRNA from 1 species